rnacentral:lncRNA from 9 species
UUUUUGGUGUUUUUAGGGCCUUGCUUGUGCCAUAUGGAGGUUCCCAGGCUAGGGGUUGAAUUGGAGCUGCAGCUGCCAGCCUACGCCCAGAGCCACAGCAACGCAGGAUCUGGGACUGUGGUGUAGAAGCAUCUGCGACCUAUACCACAGCUCACAGUAACACUGGAUCCUUAACCAAACUGCGCAAGGCCAGGGAUCAAAUCUGCAGUCUCAUGGAUACUAGUCAGAUUUGUUUCCACUGAGCCACAACAGGAACUCCCAAAAAUGAUUUUUUUUUUUUGGUCUUUUUUGUCUUUUUGCCAUUUCUUGGGCCGCUCCCACGGCAUAUGGAGGUUCCCAGGCUAGGGGUUGAAUCGGAGCUGUAGCCACCAGCCUACGCCACAGCAACAUGGGAUCCGAGCUGCGUCUGUGACCUACACCACAGCUCAUGGCAACGCCAGAUCGUUAACUCACUGAGCAAGGGCAGGGAUCGAACCCACAACCUCAUGGUUCCUAGUCGGAUUCGUUAACCACGAACUCCCCAAAAAUGAUUUUAAAAAGAAAGAAAUUUAGAGGUCGGUAAAGAAGAGCCUAUGGUUGACAGAAAGACAAGGUAAUUGGGAUGUUCUGAGAGGUUGGAAUCACUAAAAACGAGCUGGCUUGGACUUCAGAUGAAAUAAAUAUGCUCUCAGACAAAUGUGCUGUGUGCAGCUACGCGGCACUGCUAAUGGAGAUGAAUGACAGCCUCGGUCAGAUCAUUUCCAAAGAGUUAGCAACUUCUGGUUAACAGACCGUGGAAAUUAAGGAACACAAGCAGUAAGUGGAGGGAGGUGCAGAGUCUAAAGACUUUUUUUAGGAUAAGAGGAAUAACAGUGUGACUAAAGAAAGUGUGGCGAGAGAGGGAAGCCAAGAAGGCAGAUGAGAGAGGAGAGAAUUGCGGGAAACUGUGCUGGAGUGAGUGAGAGGAAUGGUACCCACGCACCCGUGGAAGGGCUGACCUUUGAUGGGAGCCAGGAAAAGCCAUCCCCUUUCUGAGAAAAGGUCUGGGUAUAAGACUCAGGUGCAGGGAGGUGAGGCGAUGCCGUGGUAGGAGCUUAUCAAAGCUGCUGUCUAAAUUCUUCCAUUUUCUUAGUGAAAUAAGAAGCAAAACCACCAGUGAAGAGUACGGAGAGGUCUUAGAGGACUAAAGAUCCACGAAAAGAUAUAAAAUACCUAUCAAGAAGACUAUGAGAUUGAACUGACCAAGGAAAUGGAAGAGGAUUUUCAGAUCGCACUCGGGAUUCAUUUAAAGCUAAGUAUCAUGAAUUUCAGGAGUGCUCCGUCUGCAUCGCUGUGUUUCUCUGCAGCUAUUCUCAGCAGAACCACUGCAGGGGCUGUGCAGGCUAAGAGCUUAAAUGACUACGGGGAUUUAAAGACCAUGGGGACUUGCUAGGCAAGGACAAUGCAAGGAAUAAGGGACAAGGGAGGGGAGAUUUAUAUAAGGGAGUGAUUACAAUGAUAAACCAUGAAAUCUAAGCUGGGUAAGAAAGGAAGUAUGAGUAUGAGGGUGAUGAAGGCCAGCAAGAAGAGGGCAGGCUCAAUGCAUGUCCUGUUGGGGUCAAGGAAUGGCUGAGAUGGGGAUGCUAGAGGGAGUGAGCUGGGAGAGUAGGAGGAGGUGGCUAGAGAGGAAAAUACUUAAAUUUACAGAGGGGGGUCAGUUCUUGAUAGUGGCACCUGCUAAGGGAGGCACUGCUGAGGACAGUACCACUGGAGGAGAGGAGCCGAAAAAGUUCAAAUGCCAAAAUACUGAGUCCAUGUGUAUGGAUACUGAAAUCACCAUAAACACGACAAGAACACUGCUGGGGAAAGGAACAGUGAGGCAAGGGCCAGAUCAGGCUUAGGGGUUGGUGAUGACUGAUAUGAAGGGGUCAGGCGUUGGAUAGUCUGAUGACAUGGUGGCCACCGGGUGAGGCGGCUCCUCCCAGCCUCCGCAUGACCACAGGCAGGAAGGGAGAUGGAGCCUAGAGCUCUGUUGAGGGGUUUUAGGAAGAGAGAGAGCACGGUCUGCAAGUGACAAAGGACGCACGGAGUAAAGUUCUCCUGCUUCCAGAUCCCCGGGGAUGAUGCCUGUGGGAAAGGAAAUAGCCGUGACAACCCGGGGGGCGGGGGUUGGGGGGAUGUCCAGGCAGGACACCCUGGUCUCUGGGCUGGGUCCAGUUUCAGGCAGAGCAAGCAGGUGAUGGGGGCUUUCAGCAGAACAGCUGAGGACGAUGGGGAAGCUGCAGAUGACCCACCGGAGGAUGGGAAGAUGUCAGCAGUUGCGGUGGGGGCGGGGAGGGCAGGUAAAGUGAUACAGGGAAGAACGUCAGAUGAUGAUGAGUCUGGGGGCGAGGAUCCUGUGCUUCCCGUGGGCACUGACAGGAGUAAAGAUAGAGGAUAAUGAGGAGAGCCUUGAAGGUCUCCAAGCAGAGGUCGUAUUGCUAAUUUAUAUGGUUAGGAAAGAGUGCAUACACACCCCUGCAAGUUCCCACGAUUUAUCCUGGCCGGGUUGGGGGGGUGGGGGAGGGGUCAGAAGGUGAGUCUUGGCAGAAGGGGCACAGAGUGAGGCCCUCUUUCCACUCCCAUCUCUGUGAUACAGAGGCAGAGGAGCUUUCUCACCUCACCUGCGCAUCAUGAAUUCCUGGUCCCUUCUGGCUCACUCUAGACCUUGGAAGCAUCCAGGACUCUCGGGGCAAUGUCUGCCUUUCGGUUUAGGGUUUUUUCUCCUCAGCCCACAGGCUGGGUCUUUUUAACCCAAGUUGACCUGAACUCAGUGCCAAAGAUUCCCGUGAACAUUCCAGCCAACAGUCAAUGUCCUUAACUUUGCCAGAACAAAUCUGUCUCUCUCAGCAGAACUUCUUCUAAGGCUCAGCUCCCACUGUGUCUUCAUUUACCCUGAAUCAAAUGCCAGAGUCAGGACAGCCUGGAGCCACAGCUGGGUGGCUGGGUGAGAGGCAGCGUGGGCUUCGAACCUGCCUUUACCUCUUGGAGGAACCCCUACGUCUCUCAGCUUGAUUCCUCAGCUGUGGAAGGGAACUGCGGAGCUGGGAGGAUGGACUCAGCCCGCAAAUUCUCUAACAGUCCCUGAGCUCAGCACGGCAGGCACACCGAAUGAUUAUUUCUCAAAAGCACUAUUCAAGAAGGAAACCAGGAAUUCCCGUCAGGGCUCAGCAGUUAACGAAUCUGACUAGCAACCAUGAGGAUGCAGGUUCGAUCCCUGACCUCGCUUGGGGGGUUAAGGACCUGGCCUUGCUGUGAGCAGUGGUGACAGUACACCCUAAAAAGAAAAAGAAAAAAAAAAAAAAAGAAGGAAACCAGAGGAAUGAAGAUGAUUUUUUUCAGUGCUGUGCUGUACAUCAAAAGAAGAAUGUCAGAUACUUUUGAGACCAUCUCCCAAGGUCUGAGGGACACGUCACAAAUCCCCGCAACCCCAGGAUCAUUGGGAAUGGUCUGGAGAUUGAGAGAAAUCCUUGUGCACUUGGUAACUGAGAAAGAGGUCACAAAUCUGAAUGUCUACAAAGGCCAAGAAGGAAGUACAAGUAAGCAAUGUGGGGCAGCUAUAACACAAUAGGGCAGAGUGGGGAGUGUGGCAAACUGAAACAGGUCCCAGUUUUAACAGCAGCCAUUAAUUCACUCCAGCUGAUUGUUGUCUUCCAGGAGCACAGGUCUUGUGUUGUCAGAUCUGCUGUUUUAAAAAGCUGCCGAAUUCUUGAUUUUAUGUGAAAUCCCCUUAUUUUCAAAAUUUGCAACUAAAUCAAAAUAUUACCACUACUCUAUGGGUCAUUUAAAACAAAAUGAAAUAGGGAGAUUUGACCUUCAGGCUACAAAGUGUAUUCUAAGGUUAUACAUGUUUAAAUUCAAGUUUAAUUAAGGCACCCUGAAGACUGUAAAGCUUCUUUUUUUUUUUUUUUUGUCUUUUUUGUCUUUUUUGCCAUUUCUUGGGCCACUCCUGCAGCAUACGGAGGUUCCCAGGCUAGGGGUCGAAUUGGAACUGUAGCCGCAGGCCUAUGCCACAGCCACAGCAACGCAGGAUCCGAGCCACGUCUGCAACCUAUAUCAUAGCUCAUGGCAACGCCGGACCCCCAACCCACUGAGCAAGGCCAGGGAUCGAACCCGCAACCCCACAGUUCCUAGUCAGAUUCACCAACCACUGAGCCACAACAGGAACUCCUGUAAAGUUUCUUAUUAAAUGUUUCUUGACAGACUAAACAAAGAGUCAAAGAAUGAUAGCAACCAUUUAGUUGGGAAGUUUUUCACCUUUUUUUUUUAAAGUUUGUGUUGGGUUUUUUCUUGGGGGGGGUGCUGCUCCGUGGCAUAUGGAGUUCCCAGGUCAGGGAUCAGAUCUAAGCUACCAUUGCAGCAACGCUGGAUUUGAAACCCACUGUGCCAGAAGGGCAUCGAACCCGAUCCCAGCACUCCCAAGAUGGUGCCUAUCUCAUUGCACCACAGCGGGAACUCCUGUUUUCACAUCAUUAGCUUCUUUUCUUUGGUUAGAUUCCCCAGGAAAGGGACUUUCUGCUGGAGACCCCGGUACGGCUGCUUUACUAGGAAGAUGCUGUGGGGCAGCAACACCGUCCCGGGACUGAGGAAGCAGGACUGGGCAGGGGAAGAAGGUGAACUGCGAGGCAGCUGUGACUCAGACCCUGCCAGUGCCCAGGAGAACUCUGAAGCUGGGCUGAUUCUUCAAUAAGCUUCUGGAUUGAGGCUGGGCACUGGGUCUUUGUCAUCAGAUGGGGCUGCCCCUUACAAACAAAUAGCAGGAGAGGGGCUCAGCCCUGAGCUGUCAUCAGCCAACACCCUGGGGGCAGGGGCAUGGAGUGCCGACCUUACAGGGGGCAUCUGGGCUGUGCCCCGCAGCACCCACUCCGCUGUGAAACUGCGUGGAGAAGUUCAACGUCAAGCAGGGUCCGGCAGAGCUUCUCUGGUUAUAAUGCGGGCAGACUCCUGCCUCACCCUUGCCUUCCUCUCCUCGCUGUCUCCCUCCAGGGUAACUCUCAGAGCCACGCAUCUUCACCUAUGACUGUGGAGACCGCCCUCAGAAGUCACUCCCUUCGUUCUCAAGAAGUCAGCAAGAAGAGCAUCUGAGACCUAGAGAAGCCCCCUGGGGAGACCACACCCCCCCCAACUCUGAACCAGAGACCAGCUCUGCUCCCCCUUGCACCUCCCACCCAGGUCUUGGAGCCCCAGGGCCACUGCUCAGCUCUUGGGAGGGGCCACAGCGCCUCGGGGGGGGGGGAGCAGCUUAAAUAGCUCCCGGUGCCAGGCGGGGACAGUUCCUGGCUAGGAGAGAGGAUCUGAAACUCCUGAUCAAGGCUUCUCUCACUGGAAGCGACUGAUCCCUGCGGAGGCUGCUCAGGUUUUCCUUCUCAGAGCAUCUCCCCAGCACACUUGGCUCCCUCUUUGGAGAACAAUAUAAUUACAGAAAAGAACAGAGAAUAGCCAUGCAGAUUAAAACGACAGGUUCUCGUCCUUACAGACCCCCCGGGGGCUGAAGGAAACAGCCUUCCGUGUCCCUGAGCUCACCUUCCCAUGUGAGCCUCUUGCAGAACUGGCAGCUUCUUCAAAUGAGGCAGGCGAGCUGAGCAAACUGGCUUUCCUUUCAUUUAACCUCUUUCCCUGCCUUGCCUCAUGCUAAGGAGGAGCUCAUUAAAUGGCCUCAUACCUAUUUUCCUCAGAAACUGCCUCUCUCUGAGGCCCUCCACUGAGUUCCAUAUCUUUGUUCGAAUGGAGAAUAAUACAUUGGAGUUGAGAUGGUGACAUUUUAAAAAAAUGCUCCCGGCUGCUCAAGACGGUCUGUCUACCGCAUCCAUCGUUUACAAGGUCUUUCCACAAAACGAGGCCGAGUCUGCAUUCCCGAUGCUUCUCCUCUUCCCUGGCCAUCCCUGCACCUCUCCUCACCCUUCUCCCUCACCCGCCCCACCACACACACUCAGAUCACUACAGGCCGUCCUAGGAGUGGAAUGUGUGUUUUCUUGUCCCCAACGCGGACCGUUUCUUUGCUCAUUAUCCACAACAGGACAUUUGGCCGGGUGCCUAUUGAGUCACUCUGCUUACUCAGCUAAAGCGUGUAGCCUGGAAAGAUUUCAACCACCGAGUUCAAGAAAGUGAUCUGGGGACAGCGUUGGAAAAUGACGACAUGUCACUGACACGGGCUACAAAUCCACAGUUAAUGGCGUUUCCACACAUCUCGUGCCAGGCUCUCCUCAUCCGGCACCAAAUUAAGAAAAGAUGACACACAACAGCACAAGAGCAGCCCAUCAAACAACCAAGAAGUGACAUGCUCAGCAGGACUAUAGAAAAGUGGCUGUCUUACCUGUCAGAUAUAACCUUUUCUUCUCGGUCUUGUGCGCUUCUGAAAAGGUAGGGAAUGAUUGCUUAC